rfam:Jatropha curcas cultivar GZQX0401 scaffold223_82, whole genome shotgun sequence.
AUUUGAUGAUGGGGACAGCUUGCACAAAGUUUCUUAAACCGCUCCCAAUAUUCAUAUAAACUCUCUUCAUUGUAUUGUCGAAUGCCACAAAUUUCUUUUCUUAUGUU